AUGGCUGACCACAAAAUAUUUAAAAGAAUAAUGUACAUAAUUCGUGUUUUCAAAAAAGUAAUUAUUUUACUCGACAAAAUAAUAUCCGUGUGUUUUUCAAAAACCGCGCGCAUUUUUCAGUCAGUCACGUCACGUGCACUCCGCUCAUCCACACUGGCUCACUCACUCGCUGAUGGGAUCACAGCAGGAUUAACGUUAUUCGCGAGACACGACGCGGUCAUGGUAAAAAAUACAGUGCAAAGGCAGAGAGUGAAGGUGUGGUGGUAUUGGCAGCAGGAAGGCUGCAUAAUAUGGGUCUGAAAUGAAGUACCGAUGUAAUGGUGACCAGAAAUGACCAGCAGCACAAAUGUUAAGUCUUCUGAAGCAAUUCUAUACUUUUGUUUUAUAAGUUCUAUAUUUCUAAUCCAAUUGCAUAUUAGAUUAAUCAAAUCAUUAAUACACAGAUGAAAAAUAACAAACCCCAACUAAAGUCCAACAAGAAUGACAUCAUGACAUCUAAGAACCAGUCAUGUUUGAUUCAGAUUAGGGCUUGGCGAUAUAUGAAAAAAUCUUGAUAUUGGCAAAUUUUUUAUAAUAUUC
rnacentral:lncRNA from 1 species